UUUACUGGUAUUAAUUAAACGUUUAAUGAGAAUAUACAACAUGGAACGAUAAAGUGUUCUUCAAAAGGAGAUAUAAAGGAUACUAAUUUUAUCCUUUUUUACCCAUUUCUUCCCCUAAACGUAAUCCCUUCUUAGUGGAUCUAUACAAUGCCAAAGGAACCUAUAACCAAAAUUUCAUGAUUCUAGCUUUAACGGUUUGGGCUGGGCGAUGAUGAAUCAGUCAGUCAAUCAGUCACGCAAGCCUUUUAUAUAUAGAUUGAGAGAAGGAGAAUGGAUAGUUAGCUGCUGGUUUCAUACCUACAUCCUGUACAAAAAUAUUUUAACAGAUUAAAGUCUACUAAACUCACCUGCAAACAAAUCAACUGUAGUAGUGGGCGUCACAACAGUAUUACAUUCGACACCAUUACAACUGGAACCAUUUUUUUCUUUUCCGUACACUAUCCACGGUGAACCAGAAUUCAACGAACACAUAACCUAUGUCGCAAAACAGAAUUUGGAUGUAAAACCAUUUCUCUUCUGCAGGGCGAUUUAAUACGAUUAACCUUAGAAUCCAAUACGCAUAUAUUAGGAUACAUCCCACCAACAAGGGCGGCUUUAAUGACAGAACAAUUCGAUUUGAGAUUUAUAUAAUG